GGAUAGUUUUUUCCUCCGCAUGGAGGAAAAAGGAAAGACGGCUUCUGCUGUCACUUACAGAUGGGCCCGCGGCGCAUUAGCUAGUUGGUGGGGUAACGGCUCACCAAGGCAACGAUGCGUAGCCGACCUGAGAGGGUGAUCGGCCACAUUGGGACUGAGACACGGCCCAAACUCCUACGGGAGGCAGCAGUAGGGAAUCUUCCGCAAUGGACGAAAGUCUGACGGAGCAACGCCGCGUGAGUGAAGAAGGCCUUCGGGUCGUAAAACUCUGUUGCCGGGGAAGAACAAGUGCCGUUCGAACAGGGCGGCGCCUUGACGGUACCCGGCCAGAAAGCCACGGCUAACUACGUGCCAGCAGCCGCGGUAAUACGUAGGUGGCAAGCGUUGUCCGGAAUUAUUGGGCGUAAAGCGCGCGCAGGCGGCUUCUUAAGUCUGAUGUGAAAUCUUGCGGCUCAACCGCAAGCGGUCAUUGGAAACUGGGAGGCUUGAGUGCAGAAGAGGAGAGUGGAAUUCCACGUGUAGCGGUGAAAUGCGUAGAGAUGUGGAGGAACACCAGUGGCGAAGGCGGCUCUCUGGUCUGUAACUGACGCUGAGGCGCGAAAGCGUGGGGAGCAAACAGGAUUAGAUACCCUGGUAGUCCACGCCGUAAACGAUGAGUGCUAAGUGUUAGAGGGUUUCCGCCCUUUAGUGCUGCAGCUAACGCAUUAAGCACUCCGCCUGGGGAGUACGGCCGCAAGGCUGAAACUCAAAGGAAUUGACGGGGGCCCGCACAAGCGGUGGAGCAUGUGGUUUAAUUCGAAGCAACGCGAAGAACCUUACCAGGUCUUGACAUCCUCUGACCUCCCUGGAGACAGGGCCUUCCCCUUCGGGGGACAGAGUGACAGGUGGUGCAUGGUUGUCGUCAGCUCGUGUCGUGAGAUGUUGGGUUAAGUCCCGCAACGAGCGCAACCCUUGACCUUAGUUGCCAGCAUUCAGUUGGGCACUCUAAGGUGACUGCCGGUGACAAACCGGAGGAAGGUGGGGAUGACGUCAAAUCAUCAUGCCCCUUAUGACCUGGGCUACACACGUGCUACAAUGGAUGGUACAAAGGGCUGCGAGACCGCGAGGUUAAGCCAAUCCCAGAAAACCAUUCCCAGUUCGGAUU
rnacentral:rRNA from 1 species